AUUGGGCUGGCCAAAAAGUUUGUUUUGUUUUGUUUUUUUCUAUAAAAUGGCCCUAGUAAGGGCUUAGUUGUCUUGAAUUUCUUUCAAAACAAUUUUGUUAGAUUGUAUUGUGACAGCUGUUAUGUCAGCAUGUAUUA